CGUUCCCGGGCCUUGUACACACCGCCCGUCACACCACGAAAGUUGGCAAUACCCGAAGCCGGUGGCCUAACCCGCAAGGGAGGGAGCCGUCGAAGGUAGGGUCGAUGAUUGGGUGAAGUCGUAACAAGGUACCC
rnacentral:rRNA from 1 species